rnacentral:rRNA from 1 species
UACGUAGGGACCAAGCGUUGUUCGGAUUUACUGGGCGUAAAGGGCGCGUAGGCGGCAAUUCAAGUCAGCUGUGAAAUCUCCGGGCUUAACUCGGAACGGUCAGCUGAUACUGCUUUGCUAGAGUGCAGAAGGGGCAAUCGGAAUUCUUGGUGUAGCGGUGAAAUGCGUAGAUAUCAAGAGGAACACCUGAGGUGAAGACGGGUUGCUGGGCUGACACUGACGCUGAGUGCGCGAAAGCCAGGGGAGCGAACGGG